rnacentral:tRNA from 1 species
AAUAAGAUGCCUGAAAAAAGGGUUACUUUGAUAGAGUAAAUCAUGUAAGUCCAUUCUUACUCUUAUUA